rnacentral:lncRNA from 1 species
UUACACCAGCUUGCAUAUGUUGUCUUUUUCUUUGUUAUCCAUUAUUAACUUACAACCGGAAUUAAAUACAGAAAAAAUUAAAUUGAUCAUUAAAAAUGCCGUUUCUAACACUAGCGAUAUGAAUAGAGAUAGGUUUCAUACUUUUCUAAGAGUUUUUAACAAAAUUAUAUAAGAAUAGAGGAAAUUUUUCAUGUACAUUUGUUCUAGUAUAGUUUAG